rnacentral:rRNA from 1 species
CCACCACUUGGGGAUAACCUUGCGAAAGUAAGACUAAUACCCAAUGAUAUCUCUAGAAGACAUCUGAAGGAGAUUAAAGAUUUAUCGGUGAUGGAUGGGGAUGCGUCUGAUUAGCUUGUUGGCGGGGUAACGGCCCACCAAGGCAACGAUCAGUAGGGGUUCUGAGAGGAAGGUCCCCCACAUUGGAACUGAGACACGGUCCAAACUCCUACGGGAGGCAGCAGUGAGGAAUAUUGGUCAAUGGACGAGAGUCUGAACCAGCCAAGUAGCGUGCAGGAUGACGGCCCUAUGGGUUGUAAACUGCUUUUAUAAGGGAAUAAAGUGAGUCUCGUGAGACUUUUUGCAUGUACCUUAUGAAUAAGGACCGGCUAAUUCCGUGCCAGCAGCCGCGGUAAUACGGAAGGUCCGGGCGUUAUCCGGAUUUAUUGGGUUUAAAGGGAGCGUAGGCCGGAGAUUAAGCGUGUUGUGAAAUGUAGACGCUCAACGUCUGCACUGCAGCGCGAACUGGUUUCCUUGAGUACGCACAAAGUGGGCGGAAUUCGUGGUGUAGCGGUGAAAUGCUUAGAUAUCACGAAGAACUCCGAUUGCGAAGGCAGCUCACUGGAGCGCAACUGACGCUGAAGCUCGAAAGUGCGGGUAUCGAACAGGAUUAGAUACCCUGGUAGUCCGCACGGUAAACGAUGGAUGCCCGCUGUUGGUCUGAAUAGGUCAGCGGCCAAG